ACCAUGCCUAUGACUGUGCAAGUCAAUAGUAGAAAGAAAAAUAGCAUAUAGGUACACAGUUUAUUAAGGUUGCUAGUGAUAUAGUUUGAAAAGUAUUAUUUUGAAGCACUAAAAUUAACUUCUUGUUGACCACUCCCAUAGGUGAUUUUACAGGACGAAGAAACAUUUCAAAAGAUAAUUAAUGAAUAAAUAAAAUGAUGUAAAAGGAGAUGAUGACAUUUGAUACCAUAAUAUUUUGUGAUACAAAGAGCUACUCUUUCUAUUUUUAGAAAUAAAUUACCAGAUCUUAAGAAACAACACAUGAUUAAAACCACAACAAAACAAACAAACAUCAUCAUAGAGCUAGUCUUUCUAUUUUUAGAAUCACUACAUAAAGAAAAAAGAGUUUCAUCAUUGCAUGUCCAUGUCUUUAGCAAGGACUUACAUUACCUGAAUCAUUUUUAUGUUUUAUCACUAAACUUAAAUGAACCCCAGAAAUGUAUGUAUUAG
rnacentral:lncRNA from 1 species